UACGUAGGGUGCGAGCGUUAAUCGGAAUUACUGGGCGUAAAGCGUGCGCAGGCGGUUUUGUAAGCCAGAUGUGAAAGCCCCGGGCUUAACCUGGGAAUGGCAUUUGGGACUGCAAGGCUUGAGUGCGGCAGAGGAGACUGGAAUUCCUGGUGUAGCAGUGAAAUGCGUAGAUAUCAAGCAGAACACCUGCGGCGAAGGCGGCCUUCUGGACGAUGACUGACGCUGAGACGCGAAAGCGUGGGGAGCAAACAGG
rnacentral:rRNA from 1 species